AGUGGCGGACGGGUGAGUAACACGUAAGAAUUUGCCUUUAGGAGGGGGACAACAACUGGAAACGGUUGCUAAUACCCCAUAUGCUUUCGAGUGAAAUGGAUUUUUCCGCCUAAAGAGAAGCUUGCGGCUGAUUAGCUUGUUGGUGAGGUAAUGGCUCACCAAGGCGACGAUCAGUAUCUGGUUUGAGAGGAUGAUCAGACACACUGGAACUGAGACACGGUCCAGACUCCUACGGGAGGCAGCAGUGGGGAAUUUUCCGCAAUGGGCGAAAGCCUGACGGAGCAAUCUCGCGUGAGGGAUGACGGCCUAUGGGUUGUAAACCCCUUUUUUCAGGGAGGAACAAAAUGACGUGUACCUGAAGAAUAAGCAUCGGCUAACUCCGUGCCAGCAGCCGCGGUAAGACGGAGGAUGCAAGUGUUAUCCGGAAUCACUGGGCGUAAAGCGUCUGUAGGUGGUUUAAUAAGUCAACUGUUAAAUCUUGAAGCUCAACUUCAAAAUCGCAGUCGAAACUAUUAGACUAGAGUAUAGUAGGGGUAAAGGGAAUUUCCAGUGGAGCGGUGAAAUGCGUAGAUAUUGGAAAGAACACCGAUGGCGAAGGCACUUUACUGGGCUAUUACUGACACUCAGAGACGGAAGCUAGGGUAGCAAAUGGGAUUAGAUACCCCAGUAGUCCUAGCCGUAAACAAUGGAUACUAGAUGU
rnacentral:rRNA from 1 species